CUUAUUAAUAUCAAAUUUCGUUUAUAUAUAUAUAUUUUUUUGAAAUAUAAACGAUUGGGCUUUUAUUUAAUGAAUAAAGAAAAUAAUUACAAAAAUGGGCCUUAGACCUGCCCAUCAAGUAAAGAAGCAAAAAGGCCACGCUCAGAACAUAACCAAUAAUCUUAAGUUUCUUAAAAGCAAACUUAAAAAGAAAAAGAAUAAAGUAGAAACUGAUAAAAAUAAUAAAUGCAUUUAGAGAAAAGAUAAACCUAAUCAACCCAAGUCAUUUCAACGACAGCUGAACUCCACAAUGCUUUUUGAAUCGUUAUUUCAAGGUUGUCAAUCCAUUAUGUCGAUAGCUCUGCCCAAAAAGAUACAUCCAUUGCUAUCCCCUAAACUUCACCCACUGUUUUCUAUCAUCUUCUAGUCUGGUCUCCUUCCCCAACGUUCUUCCGGAAACGAGUUUGGUAGAUUCGGGUCUUCUUGAACUAGGACAGUGUUUGAAUAUGUGAGAGCAAUCCUCAUCCCCUGAGCUACAACGGAGGCAUUGGACGUUCGUGAGUACUUGUAAAUGCCUGAAUUUCAACAAUGUCGAAAAUAGUGGUUUUAGACCAUCAAAUCCGACAAAUGAACUCAUAAAUUAUAUUAUUUAAUAUUUACGAGUUAAAUGUAGUUUUUAAAAUAUUUUUGUAAUAGUAAAUUGUGUUUUAUAAAGAUUUAUUUAGUCAAGAAAUUGAGAAAAA